rnacentral:rRNA from 1 species
CCUACGGGAGGCAGCAGUGGGGAAUAUUGCACAAUGGGCGAAAGCCUGAUGCAGCGACGCCGCGUGAGGGAUGACGGCCUUCGGGUUGUAAACCUCUUUCAGCAGGGAAGAAGCGAAAGUGACGGUACCUGCAGAAGAAGCGCCGGCUAACUACGUGCCAGCAGCCGCGGUAAUACGUAGGGCGCAAGCGUUGUCCGGAAUUAUUGGGCGUAAAGAGCUCGUAGGCGGCUUGUCACGUCGGGUGUGAAAGCCCGGGGCUUAACCCCGGGUCUGCAUUCGAUACGGGCUAGCUAGAGUGUGGUAGGGGAGAUCGGAAUUCCUGGUGUAGCGGUGAAAUGCGCAGAUAUCAGGAGGAACACCGGUGGCGAAGGCGGAUCUCUGGGCCAUUACUGACGCUGAGGAGCGAAAGCGUGGGGAGCGAACAGGAUUAGAUACCCUGGUAGUCCACGCCGUAAACGGUGGGAACUAGGUGUUGGCGACAUUCCACGUCGUCGGUGCCGCAGCUACGCAUUAAGUUACCCGUCCGUCGGGAGGUACGGCCGCGACGGACGUAAACUACAAACUAGAAGUUAGACGGCGUGAGACGUGCCGACGGACGACGACGAGGGAGGUAGG